rnacentral:lncRNA from 1 species
UAAAUCUUAAUCAAACCAACCCAUGAUAACAAGUCUUAAAAACCGUAGUCUUAAACUAAUAAAUACCCCCAAAGUUAAAUAUUACAUUGCCCUCAAUGUAAUACUUGAAUAUUUUUCUGGGGAAUUUAGUCAUCAUCUCCCGGCAGAUCCUCGUUGUCGGUCUCCUCUGUCUCGAAAGCUACAUCAGGGAACACUGGUGGUGGUGGGAAAUGGAUAGGAUUUUCUUUGUCCAAGUUGAAGCAAUUAACGAAGCUUAUGACAAUCGCGUUCGUGUAGUCCACGAAAGUAUCCACUCAUCCACUCGGCGUAUUUGCUGGCGAGACAGACUCAGUAACUGCUCUUGGCCCCGUCCCAAUCCGCCAUCUGUAACGCCAUGCAAAGCUCUGACCUCUGUGAGCAACAAGUUCAUUGUAGCAACAACUGGAGAAGCUGAUCGGGAUCCCAGUCCAAGUGUUCUUCAUUAUAGUGCGUCAACUCGUCAUCCUCAAUGGGUGCAAAAUAUAUUGUAAUAAACAUUGAUGGACACACUAUCAUAAAGCACUGAGUUCCCUCGAAUGAUUGCCACCUUUUCUUUUGCCUCCAUUGUGUUUGCAUAGAAUUCCUUUACAAUGGACACAACGACGGCUUCAGGUUGCUCAGUCAACUUUCCCAUCCG